rnacentral:sRNA from 1 species
GCCUGCCGCGCACUAAGCCAAUUGGUGGCUAUACUAUGUUUGGCAUCAAUACGGUAACCUCCCAGGAGCGGAGGGACCACCAGGUUGCCUAAGGAGGGGUGAACCAGCCCAGGUCGGAAACGGAGCAGGUAAAAUCUCCCAUGCUGAUCAGAAAAUUGAAAUGAAAACUU